UAAAAAAAUGAAUAUGAUCCAAAGGCUCCAAUGAAAGGCUAAGAAUGAAAGACCAACGGGGAAAGCAUGUACAGAAUCACCGUGGCCUUUGCUCCUUCACAUCGCAGAUGGACAGGAGAAUGUGCUCAGCGAGGGGCCACAUUCCAAAGUUCCCUGUGAUAUUUAGUGGUUCGAGGAGCCCCACCUGUUCAGUCCCCAGUCCCUGCAGAAAGAGAAAAGAGGGACCUGCUGCGACUCUGUGGGGUCACUUCCUAGAAGUCACUGCACAGUGCUCCCACAGCUGAGCCCAGUUACAAAUCGAGACUUUUUUUCAGGAGGAAAGGAACAACGCAUCCAGCUUCCACCACAGCCUGUGUGUGGAAUGUGACCACCGUGAUGAGGACCAGUGCCAUAUCAGUGCAGGGCAGUUAUUGGUCCAUCAGUGGUUUGUUUAAACCAGAAAUCAUCAAGACAGCAUACUGGAAGCACAGAACCACACCCUGCUCUCAAGAAUCUCGUUGUUAAGCAAAGGAUGUUACGAUCAAGUGACCGCAUUGUGAAGCUGUGCCUGGUUCAGAGCAAGAACCCAAGCAGUCUUUUCAACUAUGCUUGUGGUUAGAUGUAGACGAUGGGGUCGGGAGGACUGGAGCAACUGAAUUCCUGAUGUAGCACUCCCUGGUUGUGUAACCUCGGGCAAGUCACCACAUCUGUCUGUGUGAUAGCCCCAUUUCCAUGCCUGAGACAGCUGCGUUCACCUCCCAUUUUAUGUAUUCUAAGAAAGAACAUUGUGUAUCGAGAUUCCCGUCUACACUUGACAUUUCAGUCACAACCCUUGCAGACUACAGCAGGGCAAGAAGUGAUUGCCCAGAGUCCGAUGUCUAAAUGUCACUAUCUGAGUUUCUCAGGCCUCCCCAGUUAACCAAUAAUUCCGAGAACACAUCUUGUCAAGGAGCAAAGGUUCCAAAUAUGCCAGAAGCAUCUUCCUAGGACAAAGAACAAACAGUCCGGAAGAUGCAUAAACUUCCUUUGCACAAAUUUGCUCAUCUUCCAAGUAAAUAGAAGGCAGCUAACACUGUGACCACUGAGUUUAGAUGCGCAAAUAGCUUCUUCAUAAAAAGCCAGAUCUCUUAAACAUGAAAUAGAAAAUCUGCUAAGAAGGUAAAUUAGGUUUCUCGUCUCAUCCACCACUAACUGGCAAUUAGUUAAGUGUGAGCAGGAUUUGAUUGAAUAGUUUACGGUUGACUCUUUGGUCUUCUCAUGUACAAAAUCAGGGUGGCCUUCAGUCCUGAUUGAAAGAGAAAUCCACGUUUCCAGAAAAAACAUUCUCAUGUUAGAUGAGGAAAGAAAGAAGGAAGGUAGAAGAGGAAAGAGGCCGAAAGAGACAGAAUGUGAACUUUCCAUUUGUAUCAAACUUGGGCAUGUUGUGGCCUUCAGCAGAGCCCCGGGCGCUCAUGUUUAGGCUAAUGGAGAAAUUCCUUCUUGCAUCUCAGCUGGAACCUUUGGACAGGAGGACUCACUCAGUGAAGGGCACUAUGGUCUCAGGCUAACAGACCCAGACAUGCUGAUCCUCCCUUUUUACCAUAAACAGCUAAGUUAAAACUGAGAUGUAAUUAUGCGUGCAGUAAGUGGUAGCCUGCUUCAGGAGACGUGACUAGAUCAUUACAAAUCAUUUAAUCAAGGCUCUAAAAAUAUUAGUUACAAAUAUUAAAAAAAAUUAGCACCAAAGAGUUCUGAGAUUCUUUGGACAUUCCUAAGGACACCAAUACUGAAUUAAGAUUUUGCUAACCAACAGAGCACAUCCUAGUCUCUGGUCUCACAUUCCGUUCCACAUUUGUUACAUGGUCUGUCAAAAACAAGUCUCAAAAGACCAGAGCGAAUGCACCUCUCUGCACACAGCCCAAAAGGGACGGCAGGUAUAAACCAGAAAGAUUUUAAGGACUUGCUACGUCAGCAAAGAGGAAAACAUGGUGAAUUCUGCUGGUUACGAUGCUUGGCUGAGUGAUAAAGGCAAAUCCGAGGCAGAGGCUCAAACAAAGAAAAGGAACACACAGCAGAGGGGACACGCAUGUACAAAAUCAGGGUGGCCUUCAGUCCUGAUUGGAUCCACCUGGCUGCCCCCGCAACUCUCUUCCCCUGCACCCCGCAACUCUCUUCCCUUGCACCCCGCAAAUCUCUUCCCCUGCACCAGCCUAGUUCGCUGAGCCCUUCCCUGUGGGGAAGCUCCAGACCUCAGGUUCCCAUGCCACACUAGCUGAAGAAAAGGGAACUUCUCUCAACUGUUGCCCCAAAGUAGAGCAGAUGAGGUUUCCCAGAAUCUCCCAGCACCUCCUCCUCUUAUCCACUUAAGGGGACUGGGGGCCGGGGAAGUAGUUGCUGGGCCCACCUUCAACUCAGCCACCAGGAACAAAGAGCAAAGGCUUUGCCGCCAUCAGCCAAGAGGAGGCUUAUUUAGACCUGGCGAUGAAGUCAGUUCCACCCUCCUCACCUUCAGAAUACUUAAGAUUCUUGAAGUGCCAUAGAAUCAAGUAACUCAGGGCUGAUAGAAAGGGGGAAUGUGGGUGACAGGGAAUCAAGAAGGAAUUCCAAGGAGGCAAACAACAGGCCUUCACUACAGUUUGAGAUUGUGUGUGAAAAAACUGCGCAGACAGGGUUCUGACUAGUGUGAACUGUGUGGAAAACCUGCAAAUAAUCCUUGGCUGGAAGAUGUGAAAGCUACAAAACUUCUGUAAGAUCUAGGGCAGAGCGCAAGGUCCCUGGGAUUUCCCAUCCGCUGUUGCUGCUCAUGCCUGUGGAUGAGAUUCUUCUCUUUGUCUACGACUCUUUCUUCUAUUUUAAGUCUAUACUGCAUAGCAAGCCUUUGUGCAGCUCCUAAGCAGGCAAGGGUGCCUCUCCUAAAAGUAACUAGUCCCACUCUCUGGGACUCAGUUCCAGAGUUCUAGGAAAGAGACUCUGAGCUGGGACCAUGUGAUUCUCCUUGGGUAGGAGCUGGAGUUACAUUUUAAAGAAUUAUUCCCAAGGGUCUACUUCUGUAACUUUAUGGACAGUGAGAUCAUUCAGCAGUUCCCAGAAAAAGGAUGGUAGAACAAGCCUUUGCAGUGAGAGGCCCGUGUUCACACACUGAUAUGUUUUGCCUGAUACUGGGCUCGUGGAACAUUUGGAGUAUAAACUUUGUUCUCGAUUCAAAUGAAAUCAAAAGAAAAAGAAAAAGGAGGAGGAGGAGGAGCAGCAUCAAGUCACAGACUUGGAAUAAAGGAGCAAGAGAAAGCUCCUAUUUUUCCUCAGUUUUUGGCUUCCUGGUUUCUGACGUCUUCUGUGUUCCAGCAACACUCUGUACCUGUGCCUGUGAGCACAGUGUGUCUAUCUCAAGAUCACAGCUACUUCCAUGAGCAUUCCCUGAAGUGACAGCAUUCUCUUAAACGGGAAAGGUGCUUUGUUAUUCAUGCACCCAACAACUGUGCUACUACUUACCUUGGAGUUAAGACUUAGUCAGAUUAUCGUAUUUACUCAAUGAGUAUAUUGAUAACUUAGGUCUCAGAUUCUCUUAUUCCUUCAUCCACUGGACAUUUCAAUAAAGGUUUUAUUUGAAGACUCUUUGAACAGUUACAGAAAACAUCAAAUAUCAGAGAUGUUUCUCUCCUUAUGUUUUGUGUUUACAUAAAAAUAUGUUCAAAAUGUACCCAAAUGGGUGGGGGCAGGGAGAGUGGGAUCCCUUAAGAAGUGUUCCCCCACCCUACAUGGUGGUGGUGGUGAUGGUGGUGCAUGACUUAACUUUAAUCCCAGCACUCUGGAGGCAGAGGAAAGCGGAUCUCUGAGUUCAAGCUCAGCCUGGUCUAUAGACACAGUUCCAGGACAGACAGGGUUACACAGAGAAACUUGUCCUAAAAAAAAAAGUUUUAUCUUAUUCCUAUUCAUAGUAUUUAAUUGACUGCUGUCAAUUUGUAGCUUUCUCUUGUGUGUACACAAUAAAAAUGUCAACAUUG